UAUUAACGCCCUCCGUCUGAAAAUACUUUUCAUCAAAAUGGAUAAAACGGGAUGUAUCUGGAACUAAAAUACAUCUAGAUACAUCCCCUCUUGUUCAUUUUGAUGACAAGUAUUUCCGGAUGGAGGGAGUAUGUU
rfam:Triticum aestivum genome assembly, contig: Triticum_aestivum_CS42_TGACv1_scaffold_485164_6AS